AGUGAACGUUGGCGGCGUGGAUUAGGCAUGCAAGUCGAGCGAGAACCGUAGCAAUACGGGGACAGCGGCGAAAGGGACAGUAAUGUGUAGGUACCUACCCCCGGGUUCGGGAUAGCUGCGGGAAACUGCAGGUAAUACCGAAUAAUGUCUCCGGACCAAAGGUGUGAUUCCACCUGGGGAGGGGCCUGCAUCCUAUUAGCUUGUUGGUGGGGUAACGGCCUACCAAGGCGACGAUGGGUAGCGGGUGUGAGAGCAUGACCCGCGUCAUUGGGACUGAGACACUGCCCAGACCCCUACGGGUGGCUGCAGUCGAGAAUCUUCGGCAAUGGGCGCAAGCCUGACCGAGCGAGGCCGCGUGCGGGAUGAAGGCCUUCGGGUUGUAAACUGCUUUUGUACGGAACGAAAAGCCCUGGGUUAAUACCCUGGGGUCAUGACGGUACCGUAAGAAUAAGCACCGGCUAACUACGUGCCAGCCGCCGCAGUAA
rnacentral:rRNA from 1 species